rnacentral:rRNA from 1 species
CGGGUGAGUAACGCGUAGGCAACCUGCCCCAUACAGAGGGAUAGCCUCGGGAAACCGGGAUUAAAACCUCAUAACACGAGAAGUUCACAUGGACUUUUCGCCAAAGAUUUAUCGGUAUGGGAUGGGCCUGCGUCUGAUUAGCUAGUUGGUAAGGUAACGGCUUACCAAGGCAACGAUCAGUAGCCGACCUGAGAGGGUAAUCGGCCACAUUGGAACUGAGACACGGUCCAAACUCCUACGGGAGGCAGCAGUGGGGAAUAUUGCACAAUGGGCGAAAGCCUGAUGCAGCAACGCCGCGUGAGCGAUGAAGGCCUUUGGGUCGUAAAGCUCUGUCCUUGGGGAAGAAAAAAAUGACGGUACCCUUGGAGGAAGCCCCGGCUAACUACGUGCCAGCAGCCGCGGUAAUACGUAGGGCGCAAGCGUUAUCCGGAAUUAUUGGGCGUAAAGAGCUCGUAGGCGGUUUGUCGCGUCUGCCGUGAAAGUCCGGGGCUCAACUCCGGAUCUGCGGUGGGUACGGGCAGACUAGAGUGAUGUAGGGGAGACUGGAAUUCCUGGUGUAGCGGUGAAAUGCGCAGAUAUCAGGAGGAACACCGAUGGCGAAGGCAGGUCUCUGGGCAUUAACUGACGCUGAGGAGCGAAAGCAUGGGGAGCGAACAGGAUUAGAUACCCUGGUAGUCCAUGCCGUAAACGUUGGGCACUAGGUGUGGGGGACAUUCCACGUUUUCCGUACCGUAGCUAACGCAUUAAGUGCCCCGCCUGGGGAGUACGGCCGCAAGGCUAAAACUCAAAGGAAUUGACGGGGGCCCGCACAAGCGGCGGAGCAUGCGGAUUAAUUCGAUGCAACGCGAAGAACCUUACCAAGGCUUGACAUGAACCGGAAAUACCUGGAAACAGGUGCCCCGCUUGCGGUCGGUUUACAGGUGGUGCAUGGUUGUCGUCAGCUCGUGUCGUGAGAUGUUGGGUUAAGUCCCGCAACGAGCGCAACCCUCGUUCUAUGUUGCCAGCGCGUUAUGGCGGGGACUCAUAGGAGACUGCCGGGGUCAACUCGGAGGAAGGUGGGGACGACGUCAAAUCAUCAUGCCCCUUAUGUCUUGGGCUUCACGCAUGCUACAAUGGCCGGUACAAAGGGUUGCGAUACUGUGAGGUGGAGCUAAUCCCAAAAAGCCGGUCUCAGUUCGGAUUGGGGUCUGCAACUCGACCCCAUGAAGUCGGAGUCGCUAGUAAUCGCAGAUCAGCAACGCUGCGGUGAAUACGUUCCCGGGCCUUGCACACACCGCCCGUCAAG